rnacentral:piRNA from 1 species
UCCCUUUGUAAUGGUGAAGACAACCUGGA